rnacentral:rRNA from 1 species
GAUGAACGCUGGCGGCGUGCUUAACACAUGCAAGUCGAACGAUGAAGCCGAAGCUUGCUCUGGUGGAUUAGUGGCGAACGGGUGAGUAACACGUGAGUAACCUGCCCUUGACUCUGGGAUAAGCGCUGGAAACGGCGUCUAAUACCGGAUACGAGCUUCCACCGCAUGGUGAGUUGCUGGAAAGAAUUUCGGUCAAGGAUGGACUCGCGGCCUAUCAGCUUGUUGGUGAGGUAACGGCUCACCAAGGCGACGACGGGUAGCCGGCCUGAGAGGGUGACCGGCCACACUGGGACUGAGACACGGCCCAGACUCCUGCGGGAGGCAGCAGUGGGGAAUAUUGCACAAUGGGCGCAAGCCUGAUGCAGCAACGCCGCGUGAGGGACGAAGGCCUUCGGGUCGUAAACCUCUUUUAGCAGGGAAGAAGCGAAAGUGACGGUACCUGCAGAAAAAGCACCGGCUAACUACGUGCCAGCCGCCGCAGUAAUAC